UUGUCCAUGGCCUGAUCAAGUCAUGACACGUUUCAUAAAUAAUAUAAAAUUCUGUUGAAUAUUGCCCGUCAAUUUUCGGAUAUUACCCGUUCUUUUGCCUCGCUGCCGAGUCAACUCCUCCAUCUUCCCUCAUAUCCGAUUCUCGUUUGGUGGCUAUUGGCGAAGAAGCAACUGGCGUUGAGGUCGGCGGUGUAGUCCGUUGUCGUCGAGGUGGCCUAAGAAGAGUAUGGAGAGGAUAGAGUGAGUGGUGUUGGAUUGGUGGCUGUUGGAGACUGAGUUGACUCGGCAGCGAGGCAGAGCCACGGCCGAAUUGACAAAGACCUCGUUGCCGACGGCGAUGGCUUCGAUUUGGGUGGAGGGUUGGUAGCUGACCAUGGCUGUCGCCACCAUCGGUCCUCUCAUCUCUCUAACCUUCUACCACCACCCACAAUCGGCCCCUCCACCACUGCUCACCCACCAUACGAAACCACCAUCUCCACCCCUUCCCUGCACCACCCACAAUCGGCAUCCCCGCGAGCUCUCUCUCUCCAUUUAGAUCACAGAGUAGUUAGAAUCUAGGGUCAGGUUUAGACACCAUUUUGUGCUAUUGAUUCAUCACCGAAAUCCCUAAAUCGAAGAACGAAUCUGCCAUCAUCGUCUUUUGAUUUGAUGGCGGAAUUGGCCGAAUUCCCAGCACCGGCGCUCCAUUGGGUCAGGAAGAGUUACCAAUCGUCCUCGCCGUCGUCGUCCGGUAUCUCGUCACCAUGGUGGGUCGUCUGCCCUACCGCCGUCAUCUCCUGCAACUGCCAGCUGGCCGGUGUUGGUUGUGGUGUAUAUAAUAUAUAUAUAUAUAUAUAUAUAUAUAUAUAUAUAUAUAUAAGGGUUUACUGAUUUUGGGGGUGAGAAAGAUUGAUAAUGAAAUGGGUUUUUUUUAAUUUUUUAUAAUUGGGUUCGCUGGUUAGGUGAGUGAAAGAGAGAUGGCCAUGGAUGUGUUGGCUAGGUGAGAGAUAAAAGAAAGAGAAAGGAGGUCAAGAAUGGUGGUGGUGGCGGCGGCGACGGAAAGAUACGAGGCAGGGAGCGAUCUUCUGAAAAAAGAAAAAAUAAAAAAAUAAAAAAAAUAAAAAUUGUUCUGUCGGGUCAAACCCAUUUAAAUUGAGUAUUACCCAACUUAAGUUAAAUAGUGUAAUGAACACUGUCAUGUUGUCCCAGAGAGAGAGAGAGGGUUUGAGGUAGGGUCGAUUGGUCGAGGGUUUGAGGGGGCGGCUUCUUGGGACAGUUUUUGCAGCUUCUUCCUCCGACGGAAAGGAUGCUUCAGGUACGGGCCAAGAGAAAAGCAAUGGAAUUAAACAAAGAGGGACCAACUGGGAGAAAUGGCUUCCUUCGACAACGGAAGCGAUGGGAUGCUUCAGGUACGGGCCAAGAGAAAAUCAAUGGAAUUAAACAAAGAGGGACCGACUGUAGGCAUUCAUUUCGGCACCACUUGCUGUUCCCUAGCUGUUAUUGAAGGAAACAUUGCAACAAUAGCAGCCACACUUCCUUGUUACAUUUCUUUUGCGAACUCGGGGCCAUUAAUUGGCCAUGCUGCGAAGGAACUUUUUCCUAUGAAUCAAAUUUAUGGUUAGAUGCUUUAUCUUGUUUGUAUGUGUUGGUGAUGCCUUUUAUUGUCCAAUUAACUGAGUUGUAUAGGAUUGGGUGAAAAUCACCCACAAAUUGAUUUGGGGAUAACUGCGCACCGUAGUCACCACCUUCCUCUGCUUGUUUUCAGGGUUACUUAACAGUGGGUAGGUUUUAGUUCUCCUCCCGUUAAUUCAUUAUCCAGCGAGCAUAUUCGUGCUUGACUUGAUUUCUCUACAGAAUUCAAAUAGUUAUGGCAUGGAAUUGAUUAAUUGGGUGGCUGGGAGAGUCGCCUGUUCAUCAAGCUUUCGAGCAGCUCUUUCAACUGCCGCCUAAUCCCCCUAUGCUCAAGAACCGAGAGCCAUCCAGUCCCCGGACGGCCGGAGGGAGCUUACUUAUAGAAAGAAGUCUAGGCCGGUCAAAGGAGGAUGAAAAUAAAAUCUAAAGACCACUUCAAUGAUUAUCUAAAGCCGUGUUGGUCUCAACAUUUAAGGUUUGUUGGCACCACAGCGAGUGCCCUCCAUUCCAAGUUCCUGUUCCCAUGGUUUGCACAUGAUUGAAAGUUUACAUGAAGAAGCGCCUUUGAUAAAGGUGAACAGCAAAGGAGUGGAAAAACAUUUAUCUCCGGAAACAUUUACUUGGGGUCUGCAUCGUGGAUGUGGCUUGUGCCUUACCCAACAAGUUAGAGAAUCCCAGGGGGAUGGUAUUCAAAAUGCAAUUACAUUUGCAGAUCUCAGGUUGGCUGAUACCUACACUGAAGUUACCGCUCUAGUCUCUGCUUAUGGUUAUGAGAAGGAGAUUAAGAAUCCUGUCAUCAAAAAUGUUUUGAUUGUAGAUGUAGGUGGGACGGCAUCAAAUGUGACAUUUUUCAGUGUGGGACCGAACAAAUUGGAAUACGAAGAAACUACUACAGAUAAUAAAAUUUGCCGUGAAAGCAUAGACAUAAAUAUGGCGCAUCACAUUUGGGAUAAGUUCAAUAAGAGGUAUAGUGGUGUCUAUGCUAACAUGGAUGUGAUAAAUUGACUACUCAUCCCAUGUGAGAAAGCAAAAAUUUCACUAUCAUUGAAUGCUAUUGUCGAGGUCCAGGUGAAACAAUUGUUAGAGGGGGUUGAUUAUAGCACCUCCUUCACAAGCCCCAAGUUUGAGGAGGUUAAUGGGUACCUUUUUGAGUCUCUGGUUAAAAUGAUAAGGUUUUAUUUGAGAAGUUUGCUAAGGACGAGUAUAGCCGCCUGCAUGAGAUUGUUUUGGUUUGGGGUUGUUCAAACAUUCCCAAAGUUCAAGAAGUGGUACAGGCACAGUUUGAGAGCAAGCUGCAAAUGAGGUUGAAACCUGAAUAUGUCGUGGCUUGUGGUGUGGCAAUGAGAUCGAUAUGCUCAGGAGAAGGAGAAGGCGAAGGCUACUGAGCAUCAAGAAGUAACAGGGAUGAGAUAUCCUGUGGUGUGGCAAUGAUAUCUCCUUAUGAGAAGGAUGAUGCCCCAGUUACACUGGUUAGAUUCAAAGCUAUGGAGAGGGAUUUGAAAGACGAUGUUACUUGGAUUAAGGAGAGGUUAACAAAAGGAGGGUAAAACUUCUUGUUCAGAAUGAAAUUUUAUAUAUGGAGACUUGUUUGUUUAGAUUUUAGGUA